GAUGAACGCUGGCGGCGUGCCUAAUACAUGCAAGUCGAGCGAACAGACGAGGAGCUUGCUCCUCUGACGUUAGCGGCGGACGGGUGAGUAACACGUGGAUAACCUACCUAUAAGACUGGGAUAACUUCGGGAAACCGGAGCUAAUACCGGAUAAUAUAUUGAACCGCAUGGUUCAAUAGUGAAAGACGGUUUUGCUGUCACUUAUAGAUGGAUCCGCGCCGCAUUAGCUAGUUGGUAAGGUAACGGCUUACCAAGGCAACGAUGCGUAGCCGACCUGAGAGGGUGAUCGGCCACACUGGAACUGAGACACGGUCCAGACUCCUACGGGAGGCAGCAGUAGGGAAUCUUCCGCAAUGGGCGAAAGCCUGACGGAGCAACGCCGCGUGAGUGAUGAGGGUCUUCGGAUCGUAAAACUCUGUUAUUAGGGAAGAACAAAUGUGUAAGUAACUAUGCACGUCUUGACGGUACCUAAUCAGAAAGCCACGGCGAACUACGU
rnacentral:rRNA from 1 species